UAGAUCGUCAAGGAGGCAAGGGCAUUUUUUAUUGCUCAGAACGAUAACUGACUGUACUGUGCAUAGUUUUAUGAGUCGAUCCUCGGUAACAUCUAUCAGGACAGAGCUGUUAACUACCUCCCAUAAAAUCCUGCCGGAGCCACAGAGGAUGCAGAGCGGAGAAAUCAUGCGUGGCUGCAUGCCGUCCGCCCAGCUACGAGCCCCUAAUCAGCAGCUCUGUGGGUGAGGCGGCUCACGCUGUUAACUCCACUUAGAAACUGACUUUGAAGCAAGGUCAAGAGAAAUGCACUGCGAGUACAAUCCAGAAAGUGGUAAAGACCAGAGCUCCACAAAGCGAACCGCUGCAAACUCCUCUGACAAUGGGAACAGCCACAUUCUUAUCAGGAAAGAAGCUCAACAAGCUCCUUCAGGAGGACCAACAACAUCAUAGAGAACCAACAGCACUGUAUCUCUACCUCUCCAUUUCUCCUUUUUAUCUCCACAAUAAUCCUCGGCCAUCCACACUCAGCACCACGCUGAUUCAGUUCAGCUGAUAUUACAAGUUGACCACCAGUUGUCAAUCCACCAUAGUACUCUCCCAAAAAUCCUUCAGGUACCCAGGAAUUUUAGGUCCUGUCCAAAUAGUCCCAAGUCUGUUUCCAGGACCUACAUCAAAUGAUGUCAAGAAAUACUUCUGCUGUGGCCAUGGAUCGGCUCUUUGUAGGAGGCUCUUUGCUCUGAAUGUUUGUGUUCUGCCAAAUUCAUAUUAAAAAUUCCUGACCCACUA